rnacentral:lncRNA from 1 species
UGAGUCUCACUUGAAGCCAGCAAGUCUCAGAGCCUUACCCAAGGCCUUCAAUGUAGUACCUGGGUAUCACUUCUGGUUUUCCAGGACCCAAAGCCUCUUCAGGUAGCCUGUAAUGAAUGCCAUCGGGAUGAAUGCUGAAGGACUUUUCUUCCAGGUGGUGGGUUGUCUUCUGGCCCAAGAUGUGUCUAAAAAUGUCAUCUGGCAGUGCCCAGAGAUCUCUCUGUACCAUGCUGCUGCUACAGGGAUUGGGGGAGGAGUGGCACCUGCGAUUCAGGACUGUUUUUUUAAAUCACUCCAGUGCCUCUUUCAGCAAUAUGAAGGUAAAACCAGAAUGGACAAAUGGCCGAAUAGCUGGAAAAAAAGAAAGAAGGAAGAGGUGGAGGAAGAGGAGAAGGAGAAGGAGGAGCAGAGAAGAAGAAAGAAGAAUAAAAAAAGAAAAGGGUUUAAUGUAAA